rnacentral:lncRNA from 1 species
GGCCGAGCUGCGCCACGGGGACGGGAUCCCGGCUGCGGGGGGGGGAGCGGGGCCACCCCAUGCGCCUGAAGGUACCGGAACCCGGCGGCGUCCCCUGUGUCCCCAGUAGUGUCCCUGGUUUCCCUAGCAGUGUCCCCAGUGUCCCCAGCGGCAUCCCCAGUUGUGUCCCCAGUGUCCCCAGCAUCCUUAGUGUCCCCAGUGUCCCCAGCGGCGUUCCCAGCGGUGUCCCCAGCAGUGUCCCCAGUGUCCCCAGCAGCGUCCCCAGCAGCGUCCCCAGCAUUCCCAGCAGUGUCCCCAGCGGUGUCCCCAGUAUCCCCAGUGCUGUCCCCAGUGUCCCCAGCGGUGUCCCCAGCGGCAUCCCCAGUGUCCCCAGUGUCCCCAGUGGUGUCCCCAGUGGAGUCCCCAGCGGUGUCCCCAGUGGUGUCCCUAGUGGAGUCCCAAGCAGCAUCCCCAGUGUCCCCAGCUGUGUUCCCAGCGGUGUCCCCAGCGUCCCCAGUGUCCCCAGCAUCCUUAGUGUCCCCAGCAGUGUCCCCAGUGUCACCAGCGGCGUCCUCAGUGGUGUCCCCAGCAGUGUCCCCAGUGGUGUCCUCAACGUCCCCAGUGUCCCCAGCAGCAUCCCCAGUGGUGUCCCCAGUGUCCCCAGUGGUGUCCCCAGUGUCCCCAGUGGUGUCCCCAGUGUCCCCAGCAUCCCCAGUGGUGUCCCCAGCAUCCCCAGCGGUGUCCCCAGUGUCCCCAGUGUCCCCAGCGGAGUCCCCAGCGGCAUCCCCAGUGUCCCCUGCGUCCCCAGCAGUGCCCCCAGUGUCCCCAGCAGCAUCCCCAGCGGUGUCCCCAGCAGCGUCCCUAGUGUCCCCAAGUGUCCCCAGUGGUGUUCCCAGUGUCCCCAGCACUGUCCCCAGCAUCCCCAGUGUCCCCGGUGUCCCCGGCAGAGUCCCCAGUGCCCCCAGUGUCCCCAGCAGCGUCCCCAGUGGUGUCCCCAGUGUCCCCUGCAUCCCCAGCGGCGUCCCCAGUGUCCCCAGUGGUGUCCCCAGUGUCCCCAGCGGUGUCCCCAGCAGUCUCCCCAGUGACGUCCCCAGCGGCGUCCCCAGUGUCCCCAGCAGUGUCCCCAGUGGCCUCCCCAGCGGUGUCCCCAGCAGU